UAGGGAAUCUUCCGCAAUGGACGCAAGUCUGACGGAGCAACGCCGCGUGAGUGAAGAAGGAUUUCGGUUCGUAAAACUCUGUUGUUAGAGAAGAACAGCGCAUAGAGUAACUGUUAUGCGUGUGACGGUAUCUAACCAGAAAGCCACGGCUAACUACGUGCCAGCAGCCGCGGUAAUACGUAGGUGGCAAGCGUUGUCCGGAUUUAUUGGGCGUAAAGCGAGCGCAGGCGGUCAAUUAAGUCUAAUGUGAAAGCCCCCGGCUCAACCGGGGAGGGUCAUUGGAAACUGGUUGACUUGAGUGCAGAAGAGGAGAGUGGAAUUCCAUGUGUAGCGGUGAAAUGCGUAGAUAUAUGGAGGAACACCAGUGGCGAAGGCGACUCUCUGGUCUGUAACUGACGCUGAGGCUCGAAAGCGUGGGUAGCAAACAGG
rnacentral:rRNA from 1 species